rnacentral:rRNA from 1 species
CGGGAAACUGGGGAUAAUACCCUAUAGACUAUGGAUGCUGGAAUGCUCUGUAGCCGAAAGGUCCGCCGCUGUAGGAGGGGUCGGCGGCCGAUUAGGUUGUUGUUGGGGUAACGGCCCAACAAGCCUGUAAUCGGUCCGGGUUGUGGGAGCAAGAGCCGGGAGAUGGAUUCUGAGACACGAAUCCAGGCCCUACGGGGCGCAGCAGGCGCGAAAACUUUACAAUGCGGGAAACCGUGAUAAGGGAACGCUGCGUGCCCGUAAAAUCGGGCUGUCCAUCAGUUUAAAUACCUGGUGAAGAAAGGGCCGGGCAAGACCGGUGCCAGCCGCCGCGGUAACA